ensembl:lncRNA
GCUCUCCUGUCCCUGGGAUUCUCCAGGCAAGAACACUGGAGUGGGUUGCCAUUUCCUUCUCCAAUGCAUGAAAGUUAAAAGUGAAAGUGAAGUCGCUCAGUCGUAUCCGACUCUUCUCGGCCCCAUGGACUGCAGCCUACCAGGCUCCUCCACCCAUGGGAUUUUCCAGGCAAGAGUACUGGAGUGGGUUGCCAUUGCCUUCUCCACCACGUGUAUGCUGCUGAUGCCCAAAUCCAUCUGCAGCCACACCUCUCUUCCCCCAAGCCCUUUAAUUCUGGUUUCCAGUCUUUCUCUGGGAUCUCUGCAAAAGUCUCUGCAUCAAAUCUGGAGUUUACUCAAACUCAUGUCCAUUGAGUCGGUGAUGCCAUCCAACCAUAUCAUCCUCUGUCAUCCCCUUCUCCUCCUGCCUUCAAUCUUUCCCUGCAUCAGGGUCUUCUCAAAUGAGUCAGUUCUUCACAUCAGGUGGUCAAAGUAUUGGAGUUUCAGCUUCAGCAUCAGUCCUUUCAAAGAAUAUUCAGGACUGAUUUCCUUUAGAAUGGAUUGGUUGGAUCUCCUUGCUGUCCAAGGGAACUCAAGAGUCUUCUCCAACACCACAGUUCAAAAGUAUCAUCUCUUGGUGCUCAGCUUUCUUUGUAGUCCAACUCUCAUAUUCAUACAUGACUACUGGAAAAAUCAUAGCUUUGACUAGAUGGACCUUUAUUGGCAAAGUAAUGCCUCAGCUUUUUAAUAUGCUGUCUAGUUUGGUCAUUACCUUUCUUCCAGGGGCAAGCGUCUUUUAAUUUCAUGGCUGCAGUCACCAUCUGCAGUGAUUUUGGAGCUCCCCAAAAUAGUCUGUCACUGUUUCCACUAUUUCCCCAUCUAUUUGCCAUGAAGUGAUGGGACCAGAUGCCAUGAUCUUAGUUUUCUGAAUGUUGAAUUUUAAGCCAACUUUUUCACUCUCCACUUUCACUUUCAUCAAGAGGCUCUUUAGUUCUUCUUUGCUUUCUGCCAUAGGGUGGUUUCAUCUGCGUAUCUGAGGUUAUGGAUAUUUCUCCUGGCAAUCUUGAUUCCAGCUUGUGCUUCAUCCAGCCCAGCAUUUUGCAUGAUGUACUCUACAUAUAAGUUAAAUAUGCAGGGUGACAAUAUACAGCCUUGACGUACUCCUUUCCCAAUUUGGAACCAAUCUG